UACGGAGGGGGCUAGCGUUGUUCGGAAUGACUGGGCGUAAAGCGCGCGUAGGCGGAUCGGACAGUCAGAGGUGAAAGCCCGGGGCUCAACCCCGGAACGGCCUUUGAUACUUCCGGUCUUGAGUUCGAGAGAGGUGGGUGGAAUUCCGAGUGUAGAGGUGAAAUUCGUAGAUAUUCGGAGGAACACCAGUGGCGAAGGCGGCCCACUGGCUCGACACUGACGCUGAGGCGCGAAAGCGCGGGGAGCAAACAGG
rnacentral:rRNA from 1 species